UUUGCAGCUGAGGCUGAUGACCAGCAGCUGACCACAGCUCUGGAGGCUGACGAGCAAGCAGGACGACUCUGAGCUGUCCAAGAGAGAUCUACAAGCAACUUGCAAGUUUAUAGGUGCACACAGAUUGCCUGGAAAAGUACCAGGCCAUUCCAUUUUUAAGCAGCGAUGAAGAAAGAUGGAAGCCUACAUAUUUCCUUCCAGUGAAAAAUCACACAGGGGGAACAAAAUACGUCCAAGAAGUCUACAAAUGUUUGGGUCUUAAGUUUCUAUGAAUUACCUCAUAUAUUCCUUAUGUCUGUAAGAUUAUCUGAGAUUCCAAACAGGGAUAUUUCAGGCCAAGAAAGGAGGACAAUAAAGAUUGGGAACCCGUGAAAAAUCAAGACUGCAGUUGUGUAAGUUCUCAGCAUAGACUUGCAGAAAGACUUAUCAAAGGCUUUCCUCUGGCCACCACCAGAACCUUUAACAAAGUCCAGCUGGUUGUUAUACUGCUUUUGGCUCCAUGACCCAUGUGUGUAUACUCUGGGAAGAGGGGGCUCAUGCAGGAUAAAUGGAUUUAAUGCUCCUUCAAGCCAUGUUAACUGUACUCAACGUUUACAGCAUAUGGUUCCCACGUUUCCCAGUGGAAAAUAUCAUUCAGAUCUGCUGCUCCUUAGUUCUUCAUACAUCCUCUACUAUGCUUCCAAUUUCACUAUGACCUACCAACCACCUGAAGGUUUUGGAGGAGAGGGUUGUGGCAAAGGGGAAAGAUAAAAUCGAAUAUUGCAUUCUUGGUUUAUUUUUCCUCCUCUGCAAUGCUUUCUCUUUCA